CAGCCCUGCCACACGGGGAGGCGGCUGAGGCCCAGCAAGAAUUCAAGCUCCGCGGGGGCAGGCCAGCAGUGCUGGGGGACCCGGCGCACCCUCCGCAGCUGCUGGCCCGGGUGCUAAACCCCUCACUGCCCGGGCCGGCGGUGCCGGCGGGCUGCUCUCAGUGCGGGACCUCGGAGCCUGCGCCCACCCGGAACUAGCCGCGUUCAGCCCUGGUUCCCGCCCCCGCCUCUCCCGCCACACCUCUCCACAAGCAGAGGGAGCUGGCUUCAGCCUCAGCCAGCACAGAGAGGGGCCCCCAUAGCGCAGUGGCGGGCUGAAGGGCUCCUUGAGCAUGGCCAGAGUGGACGCCAAGGCUGAGGAGGCGCCGAGAGCCAGUGAGGGCUGCUAGCAUGUUGUCACCUCUCAAUACAUAAAACUACUGGAGGGUGGUUCCAAGAUGGCCAAAUAGGAACAGCUCCAGUCUACAGCUCCCAGCAUGAGUGAUGCAGAAGACGAAUGAUUUCUGCAUUUCCAACUCAGUAGAGAGCUGACUUUAGAGGGAUCAAGAAUAGCUUGCUGGAUGGAAGGAGCUUGGGGCCAGUCAUCAUCUUAAAGGCUCUGUGGCAGCUUGGACUUGAAGUAGGGUGCACCCGGAAUUGACCAAUACAAACAGUGGACUGCACUGGAUUCUUCUUGUGCCCUGUCUCAUAUCCUCUUGUCCCACCUUUUCAUAACAGCCAUUGCCAUGGGAACCAGCUGCAUCCAGGCUAGAGCAAAAGGAGGUACAAAACCAAAUGCUAAGAAGCUGCUGCAUUUACUGAGAUAACCGUCUUCAGCUAAUGUGAAGCACCUACAACUUACAUAGAAGGGACCGCAGAGAAAGCCCAGGGAAGAGCCAAGGCCCUUGAGAGAAGGAGCUGGAUCCCAGAAUCUAUGGAAUUGAAGGAGAGUCCCACAGAAGUUACCUUCUGAGCACGCAAUGGACUUUGUGUAAGCAGAAGAAUAAACUUUUACCAUGAAUCGGAGAAUGCCAUUUGCUGAAUAAUGGAACUCAUCUCAUGUUUUAAAAUCCUAUGUGCAUAUAAGGUUGUGUGCGGAUACAAGGUUAUUUUUUUCAUUGAAGUACCUCCAACCUAAAGCUCAGAAACAGGUGUGAUAUAGCACUCCUAUAAAAGGUAAAAAAAAAA
rnacentral:lncRNA from 1 species